CCUCAAGGACGACAAGUACUACGAGCGCAGGAAAAGGAACAACCUCGCGGCCAAGAAGUCGAGGGAUGCCAGGAAGCAGAGGGAGGACCAGGUCGCCAUGCGGGCUUCAUACCUGGAGAAGGAGAACGCCAUCUUGAGAGCUCAGGUCGCCACGCUCAGAGACGAGGCUUCUUCCCUCAGACACCUCCUGCUGCAGAAGAAGACGAAGCAGCAGUAGAUUAA
rnacentral:lncRNA from 1 species